rnacentral:rRNA from 1 species
GUAUGGCUGUUCGCCAUUUAAAGUGGUACGCGAGCUGGGUUUAGAACGUCGUGAGACAGUUCGGUCCCUAUCUGCCGUGGGCGCUGGAGAACUGAGGGGGGCUGCUCCUAGUACGAGAGGACCGGAGUGGACGCAUCACUGGUGUUCGGGUUGUCAUGCCAAUGGCACUGCCCGGUAGCUAAAUGCGGAAGAGAUAAGUGCUGAAAGCAUCUAAGCACGAAACUUGCCCCGAGAUGAGUUCUCCCUGACCCUUUAAGGGUCCUGAAGGAACGUUGAAGACGACGACGUUGAUAGGCCGGGUGUGUAAGCGCAGCGAUGCGUUGAGCUAACCGGUACUAAUGAACCGUGAGGCUUAACCUUACAACGCCGAAG